rnacentral:rRNA from 1 species
AACGAACGCUGGCGGCAGGCCUAACACAUGCAAGUCGAGCGAGGACUUCGGUUCUAGCGGCGGACGGGUGAGUAACGCGUGGGAAUGUGCCCUUCUCUACGGAAUAGCCCUGGGAAACUGGGAGUAAUACCGUAUACGCCCUAUUGGGGAAAGAUUUAUCGGAGAAGGAUCAGCCCGCGUUGGAUUAGGUAGUUGGUGGGGUAAUGGCCUACCAAGCCGACGAUCCAUAGCUGGUUUGAGAGGAUGAUCAGCCACACUGGGACUGAGACACGGCCCAGACUCCUACGGGAGGCAGCAGUGGGGAAUCUUAGACAAUGGGGGCAACCCUGAUCUAGCCAUGCCGCGUGAGUGAUGAAGGCCUUAGGGUUGUAAAGCUCUUUCAGCUGGGAAGAUAAUGACGGUACCAGCAGAAGAAGCCCUGGCUAACUCCGUG